AUUCAUGUCAUGUCAUUCAUUCAUUGGUCAAAAAAGGGAAAAGACAAUAAAGAUGAAUUUGACUGAUAGCAUGGAUUAUUUAUUUAUUUAUUUAUUUCAAGAUUUCUAUAUAUAUAACGAUAUAUCAUUAUCGUGAAUUUAUGUGGCCACGAUAAUCAUGCUGUGAAAAAUCUGAUAUCGUGACAGCCCUAAGUGGAACCAAACAGAAUUACAAAAAUAAUGACACUUCAGCCAUCUGCCAUUGUUCUCUUUCAGGUCAAGAGUGACUGUGCUGAUUAAGCUGGAUCUUCUAAACAUAUUUUUAGCUAACUGCUUGAACACAUCCGGUUUACUGACACAGGCAUCUGAAGGAAACUCUAUCAUCCCCUGGAGAACUGAGAAAUCUUCCAACAUGAAAAAAGUGACUAACAUCACCCUUAAAGAAUGGAUGCAUCCCUCCCGUACUCAACCAACACCAAACAAUGACAAGGAAUUUGAGAGUGUGUGGAGGCCCAGGGGCGAAGGCUGUCUCUGCACAUGAUCGCCCGCAACUAAUACAUCCCACAACUGCACAUGAGUGUGAUGGAGCCCCUGCCCGUAUUACUGUGGAAACAGGUGCUCUUUGCAGCCCAGCAGAUGUCCUGCAAUGCCGUUGUGGAAAUGGUCUCUCAAUAGCCAUGCACAGAAACAAUGCAUGAUGCCCUGCCAAGGUGGUCUGACUUCUGUUUAUUGUUGACGGUAUGUGUCUUUGUGUGUAUGUAUUGACAUAAACAGACUUGUAUGUUUGUGGAUGGGAAGUCCUGAGUAAUGUAAUAAAUGCAAGAUGAUCUAUGAUGCCUGCUGACA
ensembl:lncRNA